rnacentral:ncRNA from 2 species
UACCGAUAAUAGCAAACUUAUCGAAAGGUAAGGACGCAAAGCUAUGGGUCUAAAGCAACAACUGUUGAUACGAUUGCCAAGCUACCGAA